UGGAAACUCUCCCUGGUCUACAGCAAGGGCCCAAAUAAAGGUAAACAAACACCUCUGUAGGACGCCUGCAGCCAGACGUGCUGUGGGGAGUCAGGCAGACAUGUGGACAUGCUCCUCAGUUAUGUCUAAAGUCGAAGGAAGGGCCCCUUGCACUGUACGCGUUCUUGGGGGCACUUGGCACUGGCAGGGUUGCACACUUGCACUCGGAAGCGGGUUAGUAACAAAUCUAGAGUACUUGUUGCAUUUGCAAGGGACAGGCUGGGUUUCCUGCAGCGGGCUGAGCACAGUGAGUGCUCUGCAGAUACAGCCCUAGCUCCCACUACAGUGAGCCCCAGGGGGCCCAGAGGGCUCCGCAUGAAAAAUCUAGAGCAGGCAGCCCUCUAGCUAAUCACUUCGUCUGAAUCCCUAGCCCAACUCGAGGACUUUGGGGGCAAAUGGAACAGAACCAGAGUCUCAACCAUUAGUUACCGAUUUUCUGGAGGGGAGAGUCAUGCUCAGAGCCCCCACCCCAAGUUGGCACCCCUCUACUUUAGGGCCACAACCUGGCCAUGUGCACUGAGCAGGUCUCAACCCCCAAGCCCUCACCCCCACCUGGGGGUGGGGCAGGAAUACCAGUAGCGGGCACCUAACCUCAAAUGAGUAUGCCUUGUACCUGCCACAGACACACUAUAACCAGCGCCAGGCUCCUGGAAGGGGACCCGACCUGGCCACUGGUCCCAGCUCUAUAUCAGACAAGGGCAGCCCCUCUGAUCCCAGCGCAGAGUUUGCUUCAUCCACAGCACUCAAGACAUAGUGCCUCCCCUGAGGGGCAGGGGCAGCCUCCGUGAUACCGGCUGUACUUUCUGGAGUGGACGGGGACCGGGAAGAACUGCAUGGUCAGUGUCCAGACCAGAACAGGUGCUUUGGCAAAGCCCAGGCACACCCUCGGAGAGGUGAGUGGAUGGGACUGCUCCCAGUCAUGGCCCUUUACCUCCCUAUAGCCUCUCUCUCUCUUCCUUUCCCCCUUUCAGAUAUGAAGCCUCCUGUGAUCUUGGUGACAGUAGCGGGAGGAGGAAAUAGGGUCCAAACUGGUGGCGGAGGAUGAGGAGGCUGCGGCCAGGAGUCCAGGAAGCAGCAGCAACUGGAGCUGAAGGAGGGGCCGAAGCCUGGGGACAGGCAGUGCGCCUCUGCCGCAUCACAUUCACUGCUUUGCGGCUGUGGGUGGAGAGCCUUUUACACUGCACUGGAUACUCCCAUGUGUUCCCCUGGUACACGGCUUGCCCUAUAUAUAUAUGUAGGUGCCUAGUUCUCCAGGGGGCUAGCUUGUCUCCGCCUUUGACUCUCUUCUGGAGCCCCUUCUCCCCUUUUCAGAGCCAAAAGCCACCUAGAGGGCCCAAGGCCACCAGGGGCUCUUCCCCCAGGACUCUGGGAUGUGGGCACCACCUACUGGGCAUCAAGAAAGGAGUUUGCAAGACGCAUGGGAGUGACUGAAGCCAGAGUGCAGGAGGCUGAGUCCCGGCUCGUUGCUCCCGGAGCAGCAGCAGCGAGAGCAACAGACGCGCUUGGCAGACGAGGAGGCAGAAGCGGAGAGGGCGCCCUCGCGAACCGCACCGCGAGCCGGAGCCGUAGGACUGGUUUCGGGAGCCUCGGCUCAGGCCACCCCAGUCCGGGCCGAGAGCAAGAAUGCGAGCGAGAACGGCGGCCCCGCGGGCUCGGGGCUCUUGGACCAACUGCGAUGCUUCCCACUGUGGGCUGCGCGAGCCAGACACCUGAGCCAUUGCUGCGGGAAAAGAGGGAGCCAUAUCACUAGCCCAGGAAGAUCUCGGACCUUUCGUUCCCAGAACCCGCCACUGCGCAAAACUGCGAAAACUGUGGAAAUCGUUCCUGGUACGUCGUUAAAAUCCUUCCCCAGUCCUACGUGGCCUCCAGCCGGCGUGAAAAGCCGUGCGUGCAUCCAAGUAAAUAAGCCGCCGCUGCAAUCGGUUCCGCGCAUCCUUCCGGUUCCGCGGGAGGCUCGCCGGGUCUAAAUUGGAUCAGAGACCGUGUCUUUCUCAACCUCGUACUUGAAAUGACUGAAAGGAAGGAUGACAGACUACAGGAUACAUUUCAGAGUGGCCGUUUCACCAACACAGUCAAUUCUGCUUGUGUUUCAGGUGCUUUCUGUGCGUGUGUCUGUUACAUAUUCAAUACUAUUGGAUGCUUACUGUGCCUCA